rnacentral:rRNA from 1 species
CAACCGCCACGGUAAUACGAAGGGGGCUAGCGUUGUUCGGAAUUACUGGGCGUAAAGCGCACGUAGGCGGACAUUUAAGUCAGGGGUGAAAUCCCGGGGCUCAACCCCGGAACUGCCUUUGAUACUGGGUGUCUAGAGUAUGGAAGAGGUGAGUGGAAUUCCGAGUGUAGAGGUGAAAUUCGUAGAUAUUCGGAGGAACACCAGUGGCGAAGGCGGCUCACUGGUCCAUUACUGACGCUGAGGUGCGAAAGCGUGGGGAGCAAACAGGAUUAGAUACCCCUGUAGUCCCUGUCUCUUAUAC